UUUAACAGAAGCCAAAACCAAAGGCAUAUUACUGUUAAUAAUAAAAUUGAAUCUUUUUUUCCUGUCAA
rnacentral:tRNA from 1 species